UAACCCAUGGCAUCCUCACCCCUUCCUGUUACGUGUUGCAUGUUGUCCAUUGUUUAUUUACCUCUCACCAGUCGGCAGCGUCCGCCAUGUUUGUCUGUGCUAAAUGUCAUCUGCGGUGUGCUCAACAGCUAUUUGGUCAACAGGCUCUAGAAGAAAACAGAAUCAAACUUACGUGAACACAAUCUCCGAAACCAGCCUUUCCUGCGAGCGGACGCGUUGAUCCGGAGCGGUUGGAAGAGACCCUAAACCACUUAUUCGUCACUUAUCCCUCCCUAUUGUAACCCUUCCCUUUGUCCCAGUGGCGCAUCUCAACCCUGAGGCUGCAGAUCACAAAGACUGAAAAGCGAGGACAGGACAAAGCCCUUGUUUUAGCCCGGUAAUUUAUUUAUUUAUGGAUGCCCUUUUACAACCACUUUAAAUGAGCAGGCAUGAUUACAGAAGCACAACGCGCUACUACUCCUUCGUCACCGCGAGCAGAAGGCUUUCCCUGCUCUGUCGGCACUGACCUUUGGGAGGAUGACCAGAGCACAGGUGAGGCCAUCUGAGGACUGGAGGAGGAAUUGUGCUUUCACUAACAAGUGCCUGCUAGCAUGUGGAUCUUAAUGUGGACAUUCCUAAAACCCAUUAAUAUCCGAAGGUUACGCAGUCAUAGCAGGAUUUAAACUGGGAGGCAGCCAAGAUAAAUUGCCGACUCUUCUGCUGCUGCUGGGACGCCUGCCUUUAAGACACCUGCAAAAGCCUCCUGCAAAUAACAGAGGAGGUGCGAUGUUAUAACAGACAUUCGUGGACUGUUUCGCAGCGUUACGCCAAGUCUUCGAGACGCCUUCAAUCAGACUUAAUAUUGUUUAUUUUGAUUGUAUCUGGGAGCAAAGACCAUCACUGUACUGGUUGUUCUUGUCAAGCUAGACAAACCAAAUUACUCCAAAGUUUGAUGUUCCGCUUAAGAAGUGCCUUUUUGUGUUAUUUCUCGUCAGUCAGCCAUAAUUUGUUUAUUUUACAUCUUUCAUUUGGUAAAGAUUGUAUUUUUUACCGCCUUGUAAUAUAACAUUAGCCUUAUAAUCCUGACAACAAUAUGCAAGUUGAAGGCACAAAAAAAGCUUAAAGGUAUGUUAGUUCCUUUUUACCUCUAGUACAUCAGAACAGCUGACACGAGAGUCCCCAGAGUUUUGUGCCUUGACCAAGUGGUGGUUAAAAACAGAAUAUUACGUGCCUUGAUAACACUUCCUGUCACACCGUGCGUGACAGUUAGGAGGUGACAGACGCAUGAAGGAGACUCCAGGUGGACUACUGUUUCAAAGGCACACUUGCUGUUUGGUUAGCCUGCUCUAAAUGUAUUAACAGAUGAAGGAUGAAGUGCAUUUAAAGCUUCUUUUUCUUAUCCGUUUUAAUACAGAUUAUUCCUCCUAACAGCUUUAGAGACUUGCAUGACAUUGGCACAAAGGGAGCAAUACAUCUUAACACUACUUAAAUUUGGCUCAAGAUUGUAUAAAACACUAUUCUUGUGUGUACUGAAAUCAAAAGAAACAUACUUUUUUUUUUUAAGAAAAAGCUAUUCUUGGGAUUGUCUGUUGACUGAAAGACAACACUUCCUGUUUAAUAAAUAUGAUGAUUUAUGUAA